CAAGAGCGUAUGUAAAAGUUGUUGCAGUUAAAAAGCUCGUAGUUGAACCUUGGGUUUGGUUGGCCGGUCCGCUUUUUUGCGAGUACUGGAUUCAACCGAGCCUUUCCUUCUGGCUAACCAGUCGUUUCGGCGGCUGGCGAACCAGGAUUUUUACUUUGAGAAAAUUAGAGUGUUCAAAGCAGGCAUUAGCUUGAAUAUAUUAGCAUGGAAUAAUAGAAUAGGACGUUAUGGUUCUAUUUUGUUGGUUUCUAGGACCAUCGUAAUGAUUAAUAGGGACGGUCGGGGGCAUCAGUAUUCAGUUGUCAGAGGUGAAAUUCCUGGAUUUACUGAAGACUAACUACUGCGAAAGCAUUUGCCAAGGACGUUUUCAUUAA
rnacentral:rRNA from 1 species